UCCAAAUAAGUCUAAGGUUAUUUCCACCAAAAGAGCCUUAAAAUACAAAGAAGAAGGAAAAUGUGGGGAUGUGAUUUGUGAGAGACCUAACCUCCAACUAUUUGCUUGAAAAUGAAGUGGGGGGAGAUCGCAUUGAAAACAAGAGAAGUGAAUAUUGCUAACAACCAGAGAUUUUGGAAAGAGGUACCAAGUCCCAGAGAAUUGCAACUUCAACUGACAUCUUCAUAUCAGUCUUUGAAACCCUGAUUAAUGAAACUAACCAUACUGGCUGGACUCUUGAACUCCAGAUGGUAUGGUUUCAAGCAGCUACUGGAAUGCCGGAGGACCAAGUUUCCAGAGUCCUCACAAGAAGUCUCGCAUGUGCCACAAAUCAAGGAAACCUCAAUCCUCUUGGAAACCUAACCCCCACCAAUCUCAGAGACACAGUGAAGUAGCGUCUCCUCCAGCAUGACACCCAGGUAGCUGGCAAAACGGCUCCUGCCCAGAGAUCACCUGAGAGGCGAGCCCGCCAUGAUCAGCCCAUGGAACAUCUGCGCAUGCGCGGACCGCAAAGCUCUAGCGUUCCAGAACCCCGCCCGGAACCCCGCCCGAAGCUCGCCCCGCAGGCGAGCCUCUGACGCCGGACUGCGACCUGUCCCGGGUCGGCCCACACCCAGAGCCUAGGAACCUGAGUCCAUUCUGAGAUGGGCGUCCAUCAGGCAUUGUAAUUUUCUAAAGAGGAAUCAAGUAUGAAGUUCUGAGGCUGUCAAACUUAUCAGAAGGGAAGAGUGGGCCUCCGCUGGGGAAAGACUGUGUAAUCUAGAACCUCUACAAUUUUUAUGCAACAUGACUUAAAAGAGCCAACCAAACAAACCUGAAGUUCCAAGGAUGAGGAAAUCAAGGUAAAAAUCAAGAGAAUCAUUAUUUGAUAUUUACAGACUCACUCAUAGAUGAUCUAGAUAAUGGACUUAACUGAUAAAAACUUUGAAAUAAUUAUGAUUAAAAUAUUCAGGUAAAGAAAUUUUUAAAAUGGAGAGUUGCUUGAGAAAAAAAUUAAAUCUUCUUGUUCGGAUUUUGGUAUCAAGGUUUGCAAUGACUGCUGUAUACACACACACACAAAC